CACACGACUCUCGGCAACGGAUAUCUCGGCUCUCGCAUCGAUGAAGAACGUAGCAAAAUGCGAUACCUGGUGUGAAUUGCAGAAUCCCGUGAACCAUCGAGUCUUUGAACGCAAGUUGCGCCCGAGGCCUUCUGGUCGAGGGCACGCCUGCCUGGGCGUCACGC
rnacentral:rRNA from 2 species